rnacentral:rRNA from 1 species
UACGUAGGGGGCAAGCGUUGUCCGGAAUCAUUGGGCGUAAAGCGCGCGUAGGCGGCCCGGUAAGUCCGCUCUGAAAGUCCAGGGCUUAACCCUGGAAAGCGGGUGGAUACUGCCGGGCUUGAGUCCGGAAGAGGCGAGUGGAAUUCCCGGUGUAGCGGUGAAAUGCGCAGAUAUCGGGAGGAACACCAAUGGCGAAGGCAGCUCGCUGGGACGUGACUGACGCUGAGACGCGAAAGCGUGGGGAGCAAACAGG